rnacentral:lncRNA from 1 species
UUGCUAUUUCUUGGGCCGCUCCCACGGCAUAUGGAGGUUCCCAGGCUAGGGGUUGAAUCGGAGCUGUAGCCACCGGCCUACGCGGAGCCACAGCAACGCGGGAUCCGAGCCGCGUCUGGAACCUACACCACAGCUCACGGCAACGCCGGAUCGUUAACCCACUGAGCAAGGGCAGGGACCGAACCCGCGACCUCAUGGUUCCUAGUCGGAUUCGUUAACCACUGCGCCACGACGGGAACUCCUAAUGGAGCUAAUUUUGAAGCAUUAGUAUGCACUUAUUAGGAAACAAGGAGAAUUAAAAAAGGAGCCUUUCAAAAAGAUUUUUUUUACAAAGUCAUGAUAAAAACACAUACAGUCCUAGGGAAUGGCAAGCCAGUUGAGAAGAGAUUUAAAAAGAAGAUAGAGCCAAACAAGGAGGAGACCCAGGUACUGUGCUUCAGAAUUUGAACUCUAUCCUAUGUGUAUUUUAGAAAUGAGAGUAUAAAGCAUUUUUAAAAAAAUGAGAUUAGUAAGACCUUCUUUCUGAAGGUCCUAACGCUAUCGGUUCCGAAAUAAAAUUUAGAAAGCCCAAUGGUUCAUGGUUCCUUGGAUUACAGGUUUCAAUAUAAUUAUAGAAAGCUUUUUAAGCUGAAUGAUGACUGUAUCUAAAAUACACACCAACUUAUUAUAUGCUAAUAAUAGCUAAUAUUGCUUGAUAACUAUGAGCAAAGCACUGCUCUAAAGACUUAGCAGUAGUCAUCUCCUUCAACAUGAGCAAUGACCUUGUGAAGUAGUUACCACUGCCCUCCGACUAUUUACAAAUAAGGAGACUAAGGCAGGGAAAGGGGGCAUAAUUGGUCCACACACACCUGGUAAGCCACAAUCAAGAGUCAAAUUCAUGAAGACUGGCUUCAGCUGUUGUGCUCUUACUCAUGUGGUAUACAAUGUCUCAUCUGUAAUAACUACGACUAAUGGUAUUUCAAAUGCUUACCAUGUACCAAGCUCUGUGCUUUACAAGUAUGACUUACUUAGCCUUCACUGUUAACUUAUCGAACCAGUGUUUCCCCCAUUGUAUAGAUAAGGAGGUUAAGCAACAGAAUUGAAUGCUUUUUUACUUCAACUGUAACACAUGGGCUUUUGGUCCACCAGUCAGUGUUCUUGAGAGUUCCACGUGGUUAGCACAAUUUAACUUUUCUGCUAAAUCUUGAACACAUGUAAAAACCAAGUACUUACUGAAAAAAGAAGGUAUAGGUUAAUCCAUUUUCAAGUUUUGGGCAUGGCACUGAUUCCUACAUAUCUUCAAAUUACCUACUUUAGCUCACUUAGUUACUUCUAAGAAAAUGAAACAUUGAAAAACAACAGAAAUUUCCUAAAUCACUACAGUGAAUGCAAGAGAGAGCAUUAGAGUUCAGGUGAUUGAGAUAAGAUUCCUUAUAAUUAGAUGUGUUAGGAAUAGUUGAAACAGCUGUAGGUAUACCAGUGAGACUGUAAUUGUCUCUUAUGUAUAAGUGCAAAGUUUCCAGGGAUUCCGUUAAGCACUGAUUCCAAGGCUCUGUUUUGAAGCAUAAAAUUCUCUGUAUAACCUUAUUUGGUCAUUUAAAUGCAAAUCAGGAUGCUGCUGCCAUUAUAUUUCAUCUAUCUUUGAUUGUAGAUGGAAAAAAAAAUCACUGCCUUUGCCAAAAGUAUCAAUGGAGAAUACCACAAGAUUUUGCCCUGUAAUUUAAACGCACUAACAAAGAGACGAACUCGACUAGACCAGAAGGUGUUUUCAAAUUUCCGAGUAUCUAACACUAAGAGUAGACCUCAAGUCUUGAGCUUUAUGUCUAGUGCCUUGUCUAUGCUAAUGUAUAGGAUGUAAAUAAGUGGAAAUGAAAAUAAACUAAUCCUCAUUCCCAUCUUGUCAUCACCAAAUGUCAUGCACUUACCACAUUUCAGGGACUCUGCAAGUGCUACACAUCCAUUAUUGGUUAUCUUGGCAGCAGGCCCACAUAUAGAUACUAUUAUUUAUGCUUUAGAGACAGAAAAUAAGCAAAUUCUAGCCAAUAUGAAAACAAAAUUGAGAGGAAUUUUCCAUUGCUAUUUAUGAUCCUAAUAAUCCAACACUAUUAUCAGAAUUCUUGCUUCCACAUAGUAUUGUCCUGGAACAAUUCUUUCGAUUGUGAGGGAAUGUGAGAAAACAAGAACUGUGAUUCGCCUAAGAUCUAGAUAACAAACUGACUGUAGUAUAUAUAACCAAGAGAAUUAGGCAAUUUUUAAAUAAUACUUUCCAUUUCUUUCCAUUUCCAAACAUGGAAAUGAGGUUUUGCGAUUCAAUAGCUCGUUCAAGUCCCCUAGUCAAGUAAGAGCCAGAACUAGUUUUCAAAUGCCAAUCUGUUAGGCUUGAAAUCCAUUAGGUGAGUCUAGGAACCACACAUGGAAAUAAAAAAUAAAUGCAAGAGACAGGUGAAUGUGCCGAAGUUGGCAAAAGUGCUGUCACUUAGUAGUCUCACAGACCUCAUACAUUCAUGCGAUUAUGCUAGCAGGAAAAUGAAGGGCAGCAUGUAACACGUAUAUAUCUCUAUUUUCAUAAACACUUUUGUAAACAUUCAAAUGUAUGUAUUUAGUGGCUUCUAGGUGCUAGAAUUAUCUUCUGAGUGUGUGGAAUAUGUCAGGCAAACAAAGAUUCCUUCCUUGGGGAGUUUACAUUCUAAUGGAAGGGAGGGGAAGAGACAAACAAUAACCAUAACAAAUAAAUACAUUAUAUAGCACAUGGAUAUCAAGCACACUGUGAUUGUGAGCAAGAACAGUCUACAGUAUUAAUAUUUAAUACUGAAGUCUUCAUUAGGGAGGUAAGAUUUUAGCAAAGAUUUGAAGGAGAGGAAUUGGCCCAAUGAUUACUUGAGAAGCAGCGUUCCACGCAGUAGGAAGAGCUAAUGCAAAGACCAUUACAUUGGAGCAUGUGAGGUGUGUUUUAAGAAAUAACGGUGGAGUCCUGGUGGCUGGAAUAGAAUGAAAAAGGGGAAAAGUACUAGGAAAUGGGGUUAGAAAGGUGAUGAAGUGGGGACAGAUACUGUAGAGUAAUGGUAAAGACUUGGGCUUUGAGUGAAAUGGAAAGUUACUGAAGGAUUUUGAAUUGAACGAACUUCUUAAAUUAAACGGACUCUGGCUGCUGCCUUGAAUAUUAGGCUGUGGUGGAAGAGUGAAGCCGAAGGACCAGUUUGAAAGCUACUGCUGUAACCAGCUAAAAGAUGAUGGCGGCUUGAUUCCACCCCGUUAUCUGUGAAGGUGGUUAGAAGUGGUUAAGAUUCUGGAUAUAUUUUGAAGGUACAGCCAAAAGGAUUUCAUGACAUAUUGUGAGAGAAAGGACUCAAGUUUUAAACUUAAGUAUAAAUAACUUUUUCAUUCUUUUUUUUUUUUUUUUACUAUUCUACAUAAGAAUUACAAUAUUUUGAUUACUAAUAGCUCAUCCUAAGGCAAAAGUCACAUCCUUAAGCAAUUCACCAUCAGAAUUUACUUUGGGGACUUAAAACAUUGUUUUGAUGCUCCUUUUAAUUUUAAUUCUUACCUAAUUCAGCACUUUACAGUUAUGAGGUAAAGUUAUAUUGUUAAAUGCCACCGAGUAAUUUAAGAUUAUAUAAUACUGUUUUCCUUCUCAUCUGAAAAUAUCACCUUUGUUCAACAGGGGGAAUGUCCUUUGGAUUUUUAGCUUUUAGAGCAUAGGAACUGGAUAUGUCUUGAUAAACUAUAUAAUACAUUUAUGGAGUGCUUUAUCAUUUCUGGCAUGCUUUGAAAUAUCUUAUCGCGUCUCAUCCUCUCCACAACCCUCAGAGAAAGAAGGGCAGGAAAUAUGUGUAGGAAAUGGAAAGAGUUUAAGCGGCUGAGUAACACCGUGAGAACCCCUUCUUACAUAGGCCCUGCCUACUCACUUGAGUGCUCUGAGCUGGUUCUUAAUGAUGAAAACGGAUGGGAAACACUGUGGUCCACGUUCAUUCAAAGCUAAGUGCCCGCCCCCCUCCCCAAGGAUCCAGUCUAUGACUUUGCAUGGCCUAUGCCCCAGCCAAUGGACUAACAUUUUAUACAUCAGACUUAAUCACAUGGCCAGAAUCAUCUAGUCAUUAAUGCACCUUAAUUUUCCUCACUAUUUUUGUAUUUUCUCAUCUAUACCACCUUUCUCAUCUUUCUUAUGCAAGAGGAUCAACCAGAGCUUUGCUGGCCUCUCUACAAAGUCAUAAAGCUUGCUUUGUGGAUUGCAAUGGAAGAAUCUCAAAAAUGAACAAUGCCACCGUCAGAGUACACAUGAAAACGGGGAAAAGAAAGAUGCCACUGUCAAGAUCAACAAGGUGUGAUAGAUCCGUAUCUCUUUCUUGUUGAAUAUUGAAGCUAUCAAAGAACAACUUGCCUUGCUUUCAAGGGUCUUGUGGGAAAUCUACAUUAGCAAUGUAUACAUUAUAAACGACCUCCUGACUUCAGUGUCUUCAUCUUUUAACCUUUCACCCAAUUGCUGCAAGCACGUGGCUCGGGAAACUCUGGUGGUAAUAAACAUCAUAUUGCUGCAAGGCCUUUCCUUUCUUUGCAUUAAGCCAUACGAUUAAUUUAUACCUUUUUUUUUUUUUUUGAGGAAGUAGAAUGGAAGACUGCUUUUGGAAUUCAAAGAUAAUCUCAGCAUUUUUUUUUUUUUAAACAAUCUCGGUCAGUUUCAGGGGUAGUAGUGAGAAGGGGAGCAAAUCCAUUUAAGGAAGUAAAAGAUUUAAUUGCUGCGGGGGG